AACGAACGCUGGCGGCAGGCUUAACACAUGCAAGUCGAGCGCCCCGCAAGGGGAGCGGCAGACGGGUGAGUAACGCGUGGGAACGUACCCUUUGCUACGGAAUAGCUCCGGGAAACUGGAAUUAAUACCGUAUGUGCCCUACGGGGGAAAGAUUUAUCGGCAAAGGAUCGGCCCGCGUUGGAUUAGCUAGUUGGUGGGGUAAUGGCCUACCAAGGCGACGAUCCAUAGCUGGUCUGAGAGGAUGAUCAGCCACAUUGGGACUGAGACACGGCCCAAACUCCUACGGGAGGCAGCAGUGGGGAAUAUUGGACAAUGGGCGUAAGCCUGAUCCAGCCAUGCCGCGUGAGUGAUGAAGGCCUUAGGGUUGUAGAGCUCUUUCACCGGAGAAGAUAAUGACGGUAUCCGGAGAAGAAGCCCCGGCUAACUUCGUGCCAGCAGCCGCCGUAACAC
rnacentral:rRNA from 1 species